GAAAGCUCUGUCUAAGAGGUCGAAUUAAAUUUAAUAUAUAAGGAGGAAGGAGAAAUAGAGAUGAGUUUGGCUUCCUUUAUAGGCCAUGAACGGAAUGUUUAGCAUGAACAUGCAAACUUCUUCAAAGUUUGCUAUCAUGGUCUCAUCGCAAUUAUUUAGUUUUUGUUUGAUAGAGCUCUUAUGUUUUCCUUCUUGCUUAUCCAUGCC
rnacentral:lncRNA from 1 species